GCUCACUUCAGCAGGACAUAUACUAAACUUGGGAUGACACAGACAAAAUUAGCAUGGUCCCUGCACAAGGAUGACACAUAAAUUCGUGAAAUGUUCUAUAUCCAA